GUCCAGACGCCUGUGUCGCUGCAGUUCGGCACGAGCGCCGAUCUUGGCCAGCUGCAAGACUUUGCAGCUAGGCACAUAACCUUAUUUAUUAUAACCAACUAAUAUGUAAUUUUUUCGCUUGUAUUUUUGAGUAGUUGUUUAAAAACGAGCCCUCGAUGACUUCUACGAAGAUUGGGAAACGGUUUCGUUAAGUUACCACAAAGAAACAACUACAUCAAACCGGUUCGGUUCCCACCGGGAUAUCUGCGUCUUAAGACCUGGAGAAACACGUAUCCCUCGUGCGAGGAGGUGGACCUCUGAUCAAGGUUAUCUCUGGACCGGUUCGAAGUUAAUUCGUCGAAAACUUCCCCAAGUUAAUCUAUUGUGUCAAGAAGAACUUGGGGUUGAUACGGCGACACCGCUUCUCGAUCAUUUCCGACCCGGAGGCGUCCCGUUCUUUUUGUAUAAUAUGUAUAUAUGGACAGUUUAAAUAGUAGAUAUUAAGAUGGAAAAUAGAAGGGUGGGCUACCGGGUCUCUAGAUGAUAUUUGGGGCUUUUUUAUUGCUUUACUAAUAUCCAAAAUGCGAUUUGAUUUGAUUUUUUUCUUUUCAACCCUCUGAUGAUAGUUUUUAGAUGUAUUAAAACAUAGAAAAGUUAUUUUCGAUAUUGAAUAUACGUACCUUACAAUUAAAUACGUCGAAAUACAGGGUGGUUUAUAAAUAAAACGAAAAACUUGUUUAGAAAUUUCGAAAAUUGAAUGAAUUUGCUAGUUUUAAAUUUUUUUGACGACUUUCUCUAUACAGAGAUUGCAUUGAUCAUAAAAAUCGAUUAUGUAACCUCGAUAAGUUUUAAUUUUAUUAUAAAACGCAAACUUUAUCAGAAGAGGUGAAAUUUCUAAUAAUUUGAACCGGCUCGAAGGACCAAUACUCAAAUUGGUACCGGUUUUACGCGAUUACGUUCAUUUUUGGAUCGAAUUUUUUUUUCAAUCAUCCUGUAGAUGCCUUGUUGAAAAUAUACGUAACAAAAUAAAAGGGAAAAUCGUAAAGAAAUCCGUCGUUUAGGGAUCAGUAAGGUACAGCUUCAACUGGUCAACAAAAAAAUCCAGCCAAUUAUUAUAGAAACUGCAUCGAGAAUUAAAUUAGACAUAGAAUAUUUAUAUAGAGAGAUUCCAUUGUAGGCCUAAAUACGUUUAACAAAAAAAAAUUUGAUCACACAUCCAUCAAAAUAAUAAGGAAUUGAUUCGAAAAGACAUAGACAUCGCUGGUCGGCCUUGGGACAUUUCAAAAUGCAUCUGGGUCGAGUAAAUUGAUAAUUACAUUCACCCAAAUCAAUGUCAUCCAUAUUUUUUAACAAAAAAUCAUUAAUGUGGCCUUUUUUUAACAAAAUUCGUAUGAUAAUCUCGUGGUUUUGAUUUCUCCAACAGCUCAAUCAUAUACGACUAAAAUCCUGGAUCUUUGAGGCAAAUUUUGCUCGUAGUGGGCAUUAGAGCCUCAAUUUCUGACGAAAAAACUAAUAAAAAUCAUUAAUGUGGCCAUUUUUUAACAAAAUUCAUAUGAUAAUCUCGUGGUUUUGAUUUCUACACCAGUUCAAUCGUAAACAACUAAAAGCUUAGAUCUUCGAGGCAAAUUUUGCUCGUAGUGGACGAUAGAGCCUCAAUUCCUGACGAAAAAACUAAUAAAAAUCAUUAAUGUGGCCAUUUUUUAACAAAAUUCAUAUGAUAAUCUCGUGGUUUUGAUUUCUCCACCAGUUCAAUCGUAAACAACUAAAAGCUUAGAUCUUCGAGGCAAAUUUUGCUCGUAGUGGACGAUAGAGCCUCAAUUCCUGACGAAAAAACUAAUAAAAAUCAUUAAUGUGGCCAUUUUUUAACAAAAUUCAUAUGAUAAUCUCGUGGUUUUGAUUUCUACACCAGUUCAAUCGUAAACAACUAAAAGCUUAGAUCUUCGAGGCAAAUUUUGCUCGUAGUGGACGAUAGAGCCUCAAUUCCUGACGAAAAAACUAAUAAAAAUCAUUAAUGUGGCCAUUUUUUAACAAAAUUCAUAUGAUAAUCUCGUGGUUUUGAUUUCUCCACCAGUUCAAUCGUAAACAACUAAAAGCUUAGAUCUUCGAGGCAAAUUUUGCUCGUAGUGGACGAUAGAGCCUCAAUUCCUGACGAAAAAACUAAUAAAAAUCAUUAAUGUGGCCAUUUUUUAACAAAAUUCAUAUGAUAAUCUCGUGGUUUUGAUUUCUCCACCAGUUCAAUCGUAAACAACUAAAAGCUUAGAUCUUCGAGGCAAAUUUUGCUCGUAGUGGACGAUAGAGCCUCAAUUCCUGACGAAAAAACUAAUAAAAAUCAUUAAUGUGGCCAUUUUUUAACAAAAUUCAUAUGAUAAUCUCGUGGUUUUGAUUUCUACACCAGUUCAAUCGUAAACAACUAAAAGCUUAGAUCUUCGAGGCAAAUUUUGCUCGUAGUGGACGAUAGAGCCUCAAUUCCUGACGAAAAAACUAAUAAAAA